rnacentral:rRNA from 1 species
AUUGAACGCUGGCGGCAUGCCUUACACAUGCAAGUCGAGCGCGAAAGGGGGGCAACCCCGAGUAGAGCGGCGGACGGGUGAGUAACACAUCGGAACGUGCCCAGUAGUGGGGGGACAACCCUCGAGAAAUCGAGGCUAAUACCGCAUACGACCCACGGGUGAAAGGCGGGGGACCGCAAGGCCUCGCGCUAUUGGAGCGGCCGAUGUCCGAUUAGCUAGUUGGCGGGGUAAGANCCCACCAAGGCGACGAUCGGUAGCUGGUCUGAGAGGACGACCAGCCACACUGGGACUGAGACACGG